GUAAACGGCGGCCGUAACUAUAACGGUCCUAAGGUAGCGAAAUUCCUUGUCGGGUAAGUUCCGACCUGCACGAAUGGCGUAAUGAUGGCCAGGCUGUCUCCACCCGAGACUCAGUGAAAUUGAACUCGCUGUGAAGAUGCAGUGUACCCGCGGCAAGACGGAAAGACCCCGUGAACCUUUACUAUAGCUUGACACUGAACACUGGUCCUUGAUGUGUAGGAUAGGUGGGAGGCUUUGAAGUGUGGACGCCAGUCUGCAUGGAGCCAUCCUUGAAAUACCACCCUUUAAUGGCUGGUGUUCUAACGUGGGCCCCUGAUCGGGGUUGCGGACAGUGUCUGGUGGGUAGUUUGACUGGGGCGGUCUCCUCCUAAAGAGUAACGGAGGAGCACGAAGGUUGGCUAAUCCUGGUCGGACAUCAGGAGGUUAGUGCAAUGGCAUAAGCCAGCUUGACUGCGAGCGUGACGGCGCGAGCAGGUGCGAAAGCAGGUCAUAGUGAUCCGGUGGUUCUGAAUGGAAGGGCCAUCGCUCAACGGAUAAAAGGUACUCCGGGGAUAACAGGCUGAUACCGCCCAAGAGUUCAUAUCGACGGCGGUGUUUGGCACCUCGAUGUCGGCUCAUCACAUCCUGGGGCUGAAGUAGGUCCCAAGGGUAUGGCUGUUCGCCAUUUAAAGUGGUACGCGAGCUGGGUUUAGAACGUCGUGAGACAGUUCGGUCCCUAUCUGCCGUGGGCGCUGGAGAAUUGAGGGGGGCUGCUCCUAGUACGAGAGGACCGGAGUGGACGCAUCACUGGUGUUCGGGUUGUCAUGCCAAUGGCAUUGCCCGGUAGCUAAAUGCGGAAGAGAUAAGUGCUGAAAGCAUCUAAGCACGAAACUUGCCCCGAGAUGAGUUCUCCCUGACUCCUUGAGAGUCCUGAAGGAACGUUGAAGACGACGACGUUGAUAGGCCGGGUGUGUAAGCGCAGCGAUGCGUUGAGCUAACCGGUACUAAUGAACCGUGAGGCUUAACCUU
rnacentral:rRNA from 1 species